rnacentral:tRNA from 1 species
GUCCUAGUAGUAUAAUUUAUUACUCUGGUCUUGUAAACCAAAAAUGAGGCCCAACGCCUCCUCGGACA